rnacentral:tRNA from 1 species
GGCGAGAUACCCGAGUGGCCAAAGGGGGCGGACUGUAAAUCCGCUGGCAGUAGCCUACGGUGGUUCGAAUCCACCUCUCGCCA